CGCAAUGCUGAAUCUUCCUGUACUAACCUCCCGCUGAUUCCCUUUCGGGGGUUGAGGUGGUUGGGAUCUUGGGGGGUAGUAGGCAAGCGAU
rnacentral:rRNA from 1 species